UACGGGGGGAGCAAGCGUUGUUCGGAUUUACUGGGCGUAAAGGGCGCGUAGGCGGUCGUGACAAGUCACUUGUGAAAUCUCCGGGCUUAACUCGGAACGGUCAAGUGAUACUGUCGGACUAGAGUACAGAAGGGGCAACUGGAAUUCUCGGUGUAGCGGUGAAAUGCGUAGAUAUCGAGAGGAACACCUGCGGCGAAGGCGGGUUGCUGGGCCGACACUGACGCUGAUGCGCGAAAGCGUGGGGAGCGAACAGG
rnacentral:rRNA from 1 species